AUUAAACGCUGGCGGCAUGCCUUACACAUGCAAGUCGAACGGCAGCACGGGAGCAAUCCUGGUGGCGAGUGGCGAACGGGUGAGUAAUGUAUCGGAACGUACCUUUCAGUGGGGGAUAACGUAGCGAAAGUUACGCUAAUACCGCAUAUUCUGUGAGCAGGAAAGCAGGGGAUCGCAAGACCUUGCGCUGAUUGAGCGGCCGAUAUCAGAUUAGCUAGUUGGUGAGGUAAAGGCUCACCAAGGCGACGAUCUGUAGCGGGUCUGAGAGGAUGAUCCGCCACACUGGAACUGAGACACGGUCCAGACUCCUACGGGAGGCAGCAGUGGGGAAUUUUGGACAAUGGGCGCAAGCCUGAUCCAGCCAUGCCGCGUGAGUGAAGAAGGCCUUCGGGUUGUAAAGCUCUUUCAGCCGGGAAGAAAACGCAUGGGUUAAUACCCUGUGUGGAUGACGGUACCGGAAUAAGAAGCACCGGCUAACUACGUG
rnacentral:rRNA from 1 species